rnacentral:rRNA from 1 species
UACGGGGGGGGCACGCGUUGUUCGGAAUUACUGGGCGUAAAGGGCGCGUAGGCGGCCUGCUAAGUCGAACGUGAAAUCCCUGGGCUCAACCCAGGAACUGCGUCCGAUACUGGUUGGCUUGAAUCCGGGAGAGGGACGUGGAAUUCCAGGUGUAGCGGUGAAAUGCGUAGAUAUCUGGAGGAACACCGGUGGCGAAGGCGACGUCCUGGACCGGCAUUGACGCUGAGGCGCGAAAGCCAGGGGAGCAAACGGG